UACAGAGGUCUCAAGCGUUGUUCGGAUUCAUUGGGCGUAAAGGGUGCGUAGGUGGCAUGGUAAGUCGGAUGUGAAAUCCCGGGGCUCAACCUCGGAACUGCCUUUGAUACUGCGAAUCUCGAGUCCGAUAGAGGUGGGUGGAAUUCCUAGUGUAGAGGUGAAAUUCGUAGAUAUUAGGAAGAACACCAAUGGCGAAAGCAGCUCUCUGGGACGGUACUGACGCUGAGACGCGAAAGCGUGGGGAGCGAACAGG
rnacentral:rRNA from 1 species